GCCCAUGGCAGGGGGUGGAACGAGAUGAGCUUUGAGGUCCCUUCCAACCCAAACCAUUCCAUGAUUCCAUGACUGCAGCGUGUCUGUUUUGUACCACACAUCUGCCAGAGCCCCCCAGUGUCACCAGCAAGCUCAAAGGACACCAACUUCAGGGACAGCACUCUGACCCUCCAGGCCUUGCUGUGGGACUCCUCCUUGUCUCAUCUGGAGUUGGCACUUGGAUCAGACCCUCCCCUGCUCUGGCACCUGUGAGUGACCAAACCCAUCUCACUCCUCCAGCAGAGCUCCCCCGGAGCUUUACAGCAACUGUCUCGUGAGGGAAGGAUCUGUUAUGUCAACCCUAAUGUCAAAAAUUCCUGGUCUGUGCUACUGUGGGUGCAGUUCCCUGCUGACUCAGCUCCUCUCAGGAUGAAGGGGUGGGAAUCUAUUUUUAAUAGAUGAGACAAGGUGUGAUUUAUGACUAGUACAGGGUAAAUCCUGUGUGACCAGUCAGGUGCCAAUAUCAGAGGCCAAGAGUAUAAAACUUCAGAAGAAUUUUGAUUAGAAAAAUCUUUACUUUAAGCUUGGCUCAUGUUUUAAUUAAUGUCAUCUAUUAACAUUUUGAAGAGUGAUAGUUUUGGCAAAGCAAGCAGCCAUUUGGGAAGGCAGCAAGGAGUGCAGCUGUUGUACUGCAGCAGGAACCUCCCCGCCUCUGCACACGCUCAGUUUUACUAAAUAAAACCAUUUUAAAGCCA